UCCGCCGCCGCCGCCGCCACUCCACUUCCCUUUCUUCCUCCUCCCACUCCCACUCCGCUUCCCCUUCUUCUUCCGCCGUCCGGCGGACUCUUCCUCUCCGUCUCGUGUUUGUCCAUGAAUCCGGCUCUGACUGCGACCUGAUUCUCCUUCUUAUUCUCCCCCCCUAUAAAUCUAAACAAAUACCCUGUGUGAAAGAUCCAGAUCCACCAUGUCGCUCAAAGGCUACCACGAAGCCUCACUGCAUCCGCCGGCUGCGUAUGAUGCGGCGGCGGCGGCGACUGUGUGGGACUGGGGGGAAGCCCUCCUCGACAAGUUCGCCUACAUGGUCCACAAGAAAGACCACCAAAAAAACCAUACUUCCGCCCGCUGUACAUUCAAGAGGAAUUUGCACGACGACAGGGUGGUGGAGGUGGAGAUGCAGGUCAGCCUGUUCUUGGCGCCGCCGCCUCGCGUCUCCUACUUCUGCUGCUCCGCCAACCUCACCGAAGACGACCACGGGGAACAACAAGGCACCCGCCGCCUGUUCGUCUGCGAGCCUUGGGUGAUCGCCACGGAGGGUAACCUUGCCCUCCUCGCCCUCUGCCACGGCUACAACCCUGCCUACUACGGCGAAAGCAAUAACUACGACUACUUCCUCUACGAGGCAGCAGCCUCACCGGCGGGGACGCCGAAACUCACCUGCCUCCCUCAAAUCCAACCCGAGAUGUUGCCAGCUAUGGGAACUCACUGCUUCUCUACCGGCAGUAUUGCUGUCGUGCGUUACAGCAGCAACAUCCCCACCGCCGCCCACAAAAUCCCCUUGACGCCCCCCACCCCCAUCCUCAGCCCCGUCGUCGCCCUUCCCCGCCCCCAAAGUAUCCCCUUCACGCCCCCCCCACUUCCAUCCUCAACCCCUCCGUCACCGCAUAUUCUCAAGCCCGCCCCAAGGAUGAUGCCUGUGAUGCCUACAGGAUCGCGGCGCUCGCCUACGACUACUUCCACCCCAGCCAUUCCGGAUACUACCUCUGCACCUACGACUCCAAGGACCCUCGGUGGAGACGCACGCCCGCUGCCUCUCCAGAGUCACCACCGCCUGAUGACUUUGUGCCCGGCAAGGUCAUCACCAUCGACAGCUCCAUGUCCAGCUCCGGCUCCCCCCGUGGCAUCAUGGGCUGGGUCGACCUCUGGAGUGGCAUGCUACUCUCCGACGUGCUCACUGCCUCCGACACCCUCUGCACCCCGCUCCGCUAUCUCCCCCUUCCAGAGCCGAGGCAGCCGGAAAAUUGCCUCCCUCUUGCCACAGACAUUGCAUACUUCUUUCGGGACAUCGCCCUAGCCAAUGACUCCGGCAUCAUCAGGUUUGUUGACCUUCAGGUCCACGCAGAACCCAGCCCGCGCUCGCAAACGCCUAGCGGCUGGACGGUGGUCACGUGGACCUUGGAGGGGCGGGCUUAGCGGGGGUCUGGAUACCCUGUUUUUCAAGCAGGAGCAUGAGAUAAAUUCCCGAGAAAUUCACGGCUACAACCUGCCCCAGUCUCUCUUUGUUUCCAACCCCAUCCUCAGCUCCCACAGUGAUGGCGUCCUCUACCUCUUGACCAAUGCCAGCAGCGAAAACACCAGGAUGUCGAAGGUGAUUGCUGUUGACCUCAACCAGAAGAAGCUGCUGGAUGAGCAGAUUUUCGACAAGCAAAGACCCAACCCCUACAUGGGCACUAUCAUCUCCAGCUAUCUCAUGCCCGCUGCUGCAGUUUCAAAGGAGAAGGAGCAUAUGAAGCGGCGUGCGCCCAUGUCUAUGGGAUCCUCUCGCAAGAAGCAGCCUGCCUUCGCUAACCCAGCAGCCGUAGGAGGAAAGGGUGAUGUCGGGGAUGCAAUGGACUUGUCACAGUAGGUGGUUUGUUUGGUGGUUUGUUUGGGUACGAGUGCCCUUUGAGAUGACUACAAUAAUGGAUUAUUUGCUCUCACAAGUUUCAAACCAUGCCAUCCCACCAUCAGAGGAAGUAGUAUGAAUCAGAAUUUUAUUUAUUAAGGUUAUGAUGGAGGUUAAAUUAGGAGACGUAUUAUUAAUAUUUAAAGCUCCCUUCAGGUGCCUGUUAAUUUGCUUACUAUUAUUAUUGUGCUAUAGGUAGCUAGUACAAGAUGAUGUCCCUGCAUGGUUUGUAAUCCCCUCCGUACCUGCUUUGUUUGACUUUGUACUAUUGUUAAGGUUAUUAUGAAUGUUUCGGCUGCAUUUUGAUCUUA